rnacentral:rRNA from 1 species
UACGAAGGGGGCUAGCGUUGUUCGGAUUUACUGGGCGUAAAGCGCACGUAGGCGGAUCGUUAAGUCGGGGGUGAAUCCUGGAGCUCAACUCCAGAACUGCCUUCGAUACUGGCGAUCUUGAGUCCGGAAGAGGUGAGUGGAACUCCUAGUGUAGAGGUGGAAUUCGUAGAUAUUAGGAAGAACACCAGUGGCGAAGGCGGCUCACUGGUCCGGUACUGACGCUGAGGUGCGAAAGCGUGGGGAGCAAACAGG